rnacentral:rRNA from 1 species
UACGUAGGGUGCAAGCGUUGUCCGGAAUUAUUGGGCGUAAAGAGCUCGUAGGCGGUUUGUCGCGUCUGCUGUGAAAUCCGGAGGCUCAACCUCCGGCCUGCAGUGGGUACGGGCAGACUAGAGUGUGGUAGGGGAGACUGGAAUUCCUGGUGUAGCGGUGGAAUGCGCAGAUAUCAGGAGGAACACCGAUGGCGAAGGCAGGUCUCUGGGCCAUUACUGACACUGAGAAGCGAAAGCAUGGGGAGCGAACAGG